GAUGAACGCUGGCGGCGUGCCUAAUACAUGCAAGUCGAGCGAACAGACGAGGAGCUUGCUCCUCUGACGUUAGCGGCGGACGGGUGAGUAACACGUGGAUAACCUACCUAUAAGACUGGGAUAACUUCGGGAAACCGGAGCUAAUACCGGAUAAUAUAUUGAACCGCAUGGUUCAAUAGUGAAAGACGGUUUUGCUGUCACUUAUAGAUGGAUCCGCGCCGCAUUAGCUAGUUGGUAAGGUAACGGCUUACCAAGGCAACGAUGCGUAGCCGACCUGAGAGGGUGAUAGGCCACACUGGAACUGAGACACGGUCCAGACUCCUACGGGAGGCAGCAGUAGGGAAUCUUCCGCAAUGGGCGAAAGCUUGACGGAGCAACGCCGCGUGAGUGAUGAAGGUCUUCGGAUCGUAAAACUCUGUUAUUAGGGAAGAACAAAUGUGUAAGUAACUAUGCACGUCUUGACGGUACCUAAUCAGAAAGCCCCGGCUAACUACGUG
rnacentral:rRNA from 1 species